GUGGGGAAUCUUAGACAAUGGGGGAAACCCUGAUCUAGCCAUGCCGAGUGAGCGAUGAAGGCCUUAGGGUUGUAAAGCUCUUUCAGCUGGGAAGAUAAUGACGGUACCAGCAGAAGAAGCCCCGGCUAACUCCGUGCCAGCAGCCGCGGUAAUACGGAGGGGGCUAGCGUUGUUCGGAAUUACUGGGCGUAAAGCGCGCGUAGGCGGACCAGAAAGUUGGAGGUGAAAUCCCAGGGCUCAACCUUGGAACUGCCUUCAAAACUCCUGGUCUGGAGUUCGAGAGAGGUGAGUGGAAUUCCGAGUGUAGAGGUGAAAUUCGUAGAUAUUCGGAGGAACACCAGUGGCGAAGGCGGCUCACUGGCUCGAUACUGACGCUGAGGUGCGAAAGCGUGGGGAGCAAACAGGAUUAGAUACCCUAGUAGUCC
rnacentral:rRNA from 1 species